AUUGAACGCUGGCGGCAGGCCUAACACAUGCAAGUCGAGCGGAGCGGCUGACGGGUGAGUAAUGCCUAGGAAUCUGCCUGGUAGUGGGGGAUAACGUCCGGAAACGGGCACUAAUACCGCAUACUAUCAGAUGAGCCUAGGUCGGCUUAGCUAGUUGGGGGGGUAAAGGCCUACCAAGGCGACGAUCCGUAACUGGUCUGAGAGGAUGAUCAGUCACACUGGAACUGAGACACGGUCCAUACUCCUACGGGAGGCAGCAGUGGGGAAGAUUGGACAAUGGGCGAAAGCCUUAUCCAGCCAUGCCGCGUGUGUGAAGAAGGUCUUCGGAUUGUAAAGCACUUUAAGUUUGGAGGCGUUACCAACAGAAUAAGCACCGGCUAACUUCGUGCCAGCAGCCGCGGUAAUUC
rnacentral:rRNA from 1 species